AUUGAACGCUGGCGGCAGGCUUAACACAUGCAAGUCGAGCGGUAGCACAGGGGAGCUUGCUCCCUGGGUGACGAGCGGCGGACGGGUGAGUAAUGUCUGGGAAACUGCCUGAUGGAGGGGGAUAACUACUGGAAACGGUAGCUAAUACCGCAUAACGUCGCAAGACCAAAGAGGGGGACCUUCGGGCCUCUUGCCAUCAGAUGUGCCCAGAUGGGAUUAGCUAGUAGGUGGGGUAAUGGCUCACCUAGGCGACGAUCCCUAGCUGGUCUGAGAGGAUGACCAGCCACACUGGAACUGAGACACGGUCCAGACUCCUACGGGAGGCAGCAGUGGGGAAUAUUGCACAAUGGGCGCAAGCCUGAUGCAGCCAUGCCGCGUGUGUGAAGAAGGCCUUCGGGUUGUAAAGCACUUUCAGCGAGGAGGAAGGUGGUGAGCUUAAUACGUUCAUCAAUUGACGGUACUCGCAGAAGAAGCACCGGCUAACUCCGUG
rnacentral:rRNA from 1 species